rnacentral:rRNA from 1 species
GACGAACGCUGGCGGCGUGCUUAACACAUGCAAGUCGAACGGAAAGGCCCUGCUUUUGUGGGGUGCUCGAGUGGCGAACGGGUGAGUAACACGUGAGUAACCUGCCCUUGACUUUGGGAUAACUUCAGGAAACUGGGGCUAAUACCGGAUAGGAGCUCCUGCUGCAUGGUGGGGGUUGGAAAGUUUCGGCGGUUGGGGAUGGACUCGCGGCUUGUCAGCUUGUUGGUGGGGUAGUGGCUUACCAAGGCUUUGACGGGUAGCCGGCCUGAGAGGGUGACCGGCCACAUUGGGACUGAGAUACGGACCAGACUCCUACGGGAGGCAGCAGUGGGGAAUAUUGCACAAUGGGCGGAAGCCUGAUGCAGCAACGCCGCGUGCGGGAUGACGGCCUUCGGGUUGUAAACCGCUUUCGCCUGUGACGAAGCGUGAGUGACGGUAAUGGGUAAAGAAGCACCGGCUAACUACGUG